rnacentral:misc_RNA from 1 species
UUUUCAUAAUGAACAAGAGUAUCCUUCAUUGAAGCCUUGUAGUCUCAGUCAACUAGAAGUUUCAGUUGGCAACACUGUCCCUAUGCUUGGAUGUCAUUAUAGACAACCAGCAGCUUUGCCUCGUCAAAGUUCACAGAUCAAACGACGGUGGUCCAAAUCUAGGAUUAAAAUAUGACCGGCCUGCUCCUGAAAGGGGACAGACUGUGCGUUCCGUAGGUGAACCUGCGGAAGGAUCAUUACUGAGAACUUGCCCUUAGGGGUAGAUCUCCCACCCUAUGUUUACAUACUUUGUUGCUUUGGCAGGCCUGCCUUUUGGCUGCUGGCUUCGGCUAGUUAGUGUCUGCCAGAGAACCAACACUAUGAUUAAUUUAAUGUCAGAGUACUACUCAAUAGUUAAAACUUUCAACAACGGAUCUCUUGGUUCUG